rnacentral:lncRNA from 1 species
GGUGGACAGCGGUGAGUCGUGGCGAAGGCACGACGUCUUAUGCCAUGGCGGAGGCAGCUUGAAGCGAGAUGGUAUGAGGCGAGGCCAGCUGUGGAGGCUAAGUGAGAGCAUCUCCAACACGCGCGCUUCGCCCGGCGUCCAAAAAACUUCGCCCGGCGUCCAAAAAACUUAUAUAUAGUACGUCUAUCGUUAGGUUUAGCGCGGCGUGCAGCGCUGGGUCCAGCAACCGCGUUAAAAUACAGCGCGUGCGAGCAGCCAGCGCCUCACAUUUCUUGUAAUUUGGACACAAAUUUCACACAUUUCCUCAGCACAAAGCUUCUUCCUCGACGCCUUCGAGGUGCCGGAGCC